rnacentral:rRNA from 1 species
CCUACGGGAGGCAGCAGUAGGGAAUAUUGCUCAAUGGGGGAAACCCUGAAGCAGCAACGCCGCGUGGAGGAUGAAGGUUUUCGGAUUGUAAACUCCUUUUGUUAGAGAAGAUAAUGACGGUAUCUAACGAAUAAGCACCGUCUAACUCCGUGCAAGCAGCCGCGGUAAUCCGGAGGUUGCACGCGUUACUCGGAAUAACUGGGCGUACAGAGCGCGUAGGCGGGAUAGCCAGUCAGAUGUUAAAUCCUAUGGCUUAACCAUAGAACUGCAUUUGAAACUGUUAUUCUAGAGUAUGGGAGAGGUAGGUGGAAUGCUUGGUGUAGGGGUAAAAUCCGUAGAGAGCAAGAGGAAUACUCAUUGCGAAGGCGACCUGCUAGAACAUAACUGACGCUGAUGCGCGAAAGCGUGGGGAGCAAACAGGAUUAGAUACCCCAGUAGUC